AUGAACGCUGGCGGCGUGCCUAAUACAUGCAAGUCGAGCGAACGGACGAGGAGCUUGCUUCUCUGAUGUUAGCGGCGGACGGGUGAGUAACACGUGGAUAACCUACCUAUAAGACUGGGAUAACUUCGGGAAACCGGAGCUAAUACCGGAUAAUAUUUUGAACCGCAUGGUUCAAAAGUGAAAGACGGUCUUGCUGUCACUUAUAGAUGGAUCCGCGCUGCAUUAGCUAGUUGGUAAGGUAACGGCUUACCAAGGUAACGAUGCAUAGCCGACCUGAGAGGGUGAUCGGCCACACUGGAACUGAGACACGGUCCAGACUCCUACGGGAGGCAGCAGUAGGGAAUCUUCCGCAAUGGGCGAAAGCCUGACGGAGCAACGCCGCGUGAGUGAUGAAGGUCUUCGGAUCGUAAAACUCUGUUAUUAGGGAAGAACAUAUGUGUAAGUAACUGUGCACAUCUUGACGGUACCUAAUCAGAAAGCCACGGCUAACUACGUG
rnacentral:rRNA from 1 species